rnacentral:rRNA from 1 species
GCAGAUGAAGGCCGUCAAAGAUCACAAGCGCAGCUUGCUAUUGUACAGGUUUAGAAUUUAGAAAGGUGACCUAUUUUUUCAUGUGAACUUACCUAUUCUUUGCUAUUCAGAAUGAUUAUUUAUCUUCCCAUUGCUGUGUUAAUUGAUUCAUAUGCGGUUCUGCUAUUCUGACAAGGAUAUCCAUCAAGGUUAUUUGGAGGGACAUAAUGAAACGUCACAAGUUCUACUUUGCUGAUUCUUUCAGAGAAUUGUUUCAUUACUAAUGCGCUGUCGCGGACAUGUAUUAAUCCCAAAUUCCAAAUCACUCUGGAAUCCAGUCAAAAUCCAGUCAAAAUCACUCCGGAAUCCUUCUCCGUAAUUGAUUCGCAAACUACUCUCAAGGACUGCUCUGAACCUCAAAUAUCGUGGGCACAUGAAGUUGUGGUGUAAUUUUUACAGAAACAAGUGAUCCAGGCAGCAAGGUAUUGAUUGAUGCAACUAUGUUGUAAUGUUUCAGUGACUGUUAAUAUUUUUUUAGGAAGAAUAACCAAUUCAGAUGAUACCCAAGGAGUUCUGGAUGGGAGAUUGUUUAUUUCUACGUCGUGC